rnacentral:misc_RNA from 1 species
CGCUUUACUCGGCCCGUACACCGUACGUCUUUCUUAACGUCGUUACGUGUUUGAACAUUUCGCCGUAAACGAAGUGACACUUGUAGAAUUGACCGAUACAAUUAACAGGAAGCCGCCUACGAGGAUAUUUGCUGUGGAAAACACUCACAUUUCUGUGGACUUGGAGCAGAGGAGUCCUAGCAAUUUUGGACGGGUGAUAAUAAUCGGGAGGUUGUAGGAUACCGAAACGUCCCUGUCGCAAGGUCGAUGCAAAUAGCUGCAGUUAAUUUUAUUAACAGAGAUCCGAAGGGGAUUUGAUCGAUAUACCAUCGCUUGACCCACAAUAAAUCAGCCGUGC